GAUGAACGCUGGCGGCGUGCCUAAUACAUGCAAGUCGAGCGAACAGAUGAGGAGCUUGCUCCUCUGACGUUAGCGGCGGACGGGUGAGUAACACGUGGAUAACCUACCUAUAAGGCUGGGAUAACUACGGGAAACCGGAGCUAAUACCGGAUAAUAUAUUGAACCGCAUGGUUCAAUAGUGAAAGACGGUUUUGCUGUCACUUAUAGAUGGAUCCGCGCCGCAUUAGCUAGUUGGUAAGGUAACGGCUUACCAAGGCAACGAUGCGUAGCCGACCUGAGAGGGUGAUCGGCCACACUGGAACUGAGACACGGUCCAGACUCCUACGGGAGGCAGCAGUAGGGAAUCUUCCGCAAUGGGCGAAAGCCUGACGGAGCAACGCCGCGUGAGUGAUGAAGGUCUUCGGAUCGUAAAACUCUGUUAUUAGGGAAGAACAAAUGUGUAAGUAACUAUGCACGUCUUGACGGUACCUAAUCAGAAAGCCACGGCUAACUACGUG
rnacentral:rRNA from 1 species